rnacentral:rRNA from 1 species
GUGCCAGCAGCCGCGGUAAUACGGAGGGUGCAAGCGUUGUUCGGAAUUACUGGGCGUAAAGAGCGUGUAGGCGGUUUGGCAAGUCAGAUGUGAAAGCCCUCGGCUCAACCGGGGAAGUGCAUUUGAUACUGCCAUUCUAGAGUAUGGGAGAGGAGAGUGGAAUUCCCGGUGUAGAGGUGAAAUUCGUAGAUAUCGGGAGGAACACCCGUGGCGAAGGCGGCUCUCUGGACCAAUACUGACGCUGAGACGCGAAAGCGUGGGGAGCAAACAGGAUUAGAUACCCUGGUUGUCCACGCCGUAAACGAUGAGAACUAGGUGUAGCGGGUAUUGACCCCUGCUGUGCCGUAGUUAACGCGUUAAGUAUCCCGCCUGGGGAGUACGGCCGCAAGGCUAAAACUUAAAGGAAUUGACGGGG